rnacentral:rRNA from 1 species
AGAGUUUGAUCCUGGCUCAGGAUGAACGCUGACGGCGUGCUUAACACAUGCAAGUCGAACGGGAAACCUUUUAUUGAAGCUUCGGCAGAUUUAGCUGGUUUCUAGUGGCGGACGGGUGAGUAACGCGUGGGUAACCUGCCUUAUACAGGGGGAUAACAACCAGAAAUGGUUGCUAAUACCGCAUAAGCGCACAGGACCGCAUGGUCCGGUGUGAAAAACUCCGGUGGUAUAAGAUGGACCCGCGUUGGAUUAGCUAGUUGGCGGGGUAACGGCCUACCAAGGCGACGAUCCAUAGCCGGCCUGAGAGGGUGAACGGCCACAUUGGGACUGAGACACGGCCCAGACUCCUACGGGAGGCAGCAGUGGGGAAUAUUGCACAAUGGGGGAAACCCUGAUGCAGCGACGCCGCGUGAAGGAAGAAGUAUCUCGGUAUGUAAACUUCUAUCAGCAGGGAAGAUAGUGACGGUACCUGACUAAGAAGCCCCGGCUAACUACGUGCCAGCAGCCGCGGUAAUACGUAGGGGGCAAGCGUUAUCCGGAUUUACUGGGUGUAAAGGGAGCGUAGACGGACUGGCAAGUCUGAUGUGAAAGGCGGGGGCUCAACCCCUGGACUGCAUUGGAAACUGUUAGUCUUGAGUGCCGGAGAGGUAAGCGGAAUUCCUAGUGUAGCGGUGAAAUGCGUAGAUAUUAGGAGGAACACCAGUGGCGAAGGCGGCUUACUGGACGGUAACUGACGUUGAGGCUCGAAAGCGUGGGGAGCAAACAGGAUGAGAUACCCUGGUAGUCCACGCCGUAAACGAU